rnacentral:rRNA from 1 species
UUUGUCCUACGGGGCGCAGCAGUCGAGAAUCAUUCACAAUGGGGGAAACCCUGAUGGUGCGACACCGCGUGGGGGAAUGAAGGUCUUCGGAUUGUAAACCCCUGUCAUGUGGGAGCAAAUUAAAAAGAUAGUACCACAAGAGGAAGAGACGGCUAACUCUGUGCCAGCAGCCGCGGUAAUACAGAGGUCUCAAGCGUUGUUCGGAAUCACUGGGCGUAAAGCGUGCGUAGGCUGUUUCGUAAGUCGUGUGUGAAAGGCGCGGGCUCAACCCGCGGCCGGCCCAUGAUACGGCGAGA